UUCCCGUUAGUUCAACGGCAGAACUCCUGGUUCUGGUCCAGGCGAUCCGUGUUCGAAUCGCGGACGGGAAGCCA
rnacentral:tRNA from 1 species